AACGAACGCUGGCGGCAGGCCUAACACAUGCAAGUCGAACGAACCGUUUACGGUGAGUGGCGCACGGGUGAGUAACACGUGGGAAUAUACAUUUCGGUAAGGAAUAACGUAGAGAAAUUUACGCUAAUACCUUAUAAUGACUACGGUCCAAAGAUUUAUCGCCGAAGGAUUAGCCCGCGUUAGAUUAGGUAGUUGGUAGGGUAAUGGCCUACCAAGCCUACGAUCUAUAGCUGGUCUUAGAGGAUGAUCAGCCACACUGGAACUGAGACACGGUCCAGACUCCUACGGGAGGCAGCAGGGAGGAAUAUUGCGCACUGGGGGAAACCCUGACGCAGCCAUGCCGCGUGAGUGACGAAGGCCUUAGGGUUGUAAAGCUCUUUCAGAUGUAAAGAUAAUGACGGUAACAUCAGAAGAAGCUCCGGCUAAAUUCGUGCCAGCCGCCGCAGUAA
rnacentral:rRNA from 1 species